ACGGAAGGCAGCAGUGGGGAAUAUUGGGCAAUGGGGGCAACCCUGACCCAGCAACGCCGCGUGAAGGAAGAAGGCUUUCGGAUUGUAAACUUCUUUGACAGGGGACGAAUUUUGACGGUACCCUGAAAACAAGUCACGGCUAACUACGUGCCAGCAGCCGCGGUAAUACGUAGGUGACAAGCGUUAUCCGGAUUUACUGGGUGUAAAGGGCGUGUAGGCGGGUUUGCAAGUCAGAUGUGAAAUCCCGGGGCUUAACUCCGGAACUGCAUCUGAAACUGUAGAUCUUGAGUAUCGGAGAGGAAAGUGGAAUUCCCAGUGUAGCGGUGAAAUGCGUAGAGAUUGGGAGGAACACCAGUGGCGAAGGCGGCUUUCUGGACGAUAACUGACGCUGAGGCGCGAAAGCGUGGGGAGCAAACAGGAUUAGAUACCCUGUA
rnacentral:rRNA from 1 species